CGCCUUGCCAGCCCGCUCAGAACUUAAAUGAAGUGACGGGGGCCCGCACAAGCGGUGGAGUAUGUGGUUUAAUUCGAUGCAACGCGAAGAACCUUACCUGGUCUUGACAUCCCGGAGACCCUUAGGAAACUAGGGGUGCUUCCAUCUGGAAGAAUCUGGAGACAGGUGCUGCAUGGCUGUCGUCAGCUCGUGUCGUGAGAUGUUGGGUUAAGUCCCGCAACGAGCGCAACCCUUGCCUUUAGUUGCCAGCAGUUCGGCUGGGCACUCUAAAGGGACUGCCGGUGUUAAACCGGAGGAAGGUGGGGAUGACGUCAAGUCCUCAUGGCCUUUAUGACCAGGGCUACACACGUACUACAAUGGCCGAUACAAAGGGCAGCGACACUGCGAGGUGAAGCCAAUCCCGUAAAAUCGGUCUCAGUCCGGAUUGGAGUCUGCAACUCGACUCCAUGAAGUUGGAAUCGCUAGUAAUCGUGGAUCAGCAUGCCACGGUGAAUACGUUCCCGGGCCUU
rnacentral:rRNA from 1 species